rnacentral:rRNA from 1 species
UGAGGAAUAUUGGUCAAUGGACGAGAGUCUGAACCAGCCAAGUAGCGUGAAGGAUGACUGCCCUAUGGGUUGUAAACUUCUUUUAUAAGGGAAUAAAGUGAGGGACGUGUCCCUUUUUGUAUGUACCUUAUGAAUAAGGAUCGGCUAACUCCGUGCCAGCAGCCGCGGUAAUACGGAGGAUCCAAGCGUUAUCCGGAUUUAUUGGGUUUAAAGGGAGCGUAGGUUGACAUAUAAGUCAGCUGUGAAAGUUUACGGCUCAACCGUGAAAUUGCAGUUGAUACUGUAUGUCUUGAGUGUACAAGAGGUGGGCGGAAUUCGUGGUGUAGCGGUGAAAUGCUUAGAUAUCACGAAGAACUCCAAUUGCGAAGGCAGCUCACUGGGGUACAACUGACACUGAGGC